rnacentral:rRNA from 1 species
AUACGUAGGGGGCGAGCGUUGUCCGGAAUGAUUGGGCGUAAAGGGCGCGUAGGCGGCCUGUUAAGUCUGGAGUGAAAGUCCUGUUUUCAAGAUGGGAAUUGCUUUGGAUACUGAUGGGCUUGAGUGCAGGAGAGGUUAUCGGAAUUCCCGGUGUAGCGGUGAAAUGCGUAGUGAUCGGGAGGAACACCAGUGGCGAAGGCGGGUAACUGGACUGCAACUGACGCUGAGGCGCGAAAGUGUGGGGAGCAAACAGGAUUAGAUACCCUGGUAGUCCACACUGUAAACGAUGAAUGCUAGGUGUAAGAGGUAUCGACCCCUUUUGUGCCGGAGUUAACACAAUAAGCAUUCCGCCUGGGGAGUACGGCCGCAAGGUUGAAACUCAAAGGAAUUGACGGGG